UAAAACCAAAGUUAAUUCCAUUAUUUUCAUUUCUUCCAGAUUCUCGUCUUUGUUAUCAUUCUUCCUGAGAGCUUUCUCUUUAUUAUGAUUUUCAAGUUGUGGGCCACACCUAUUGCAUAUGGAAGUUCCCAGGCUUGAGGACAAAUCAGAGUUGCAGCUGCCAGCCUACACCACAGCCACAGCAACACGGAUCUGAGCUGUGUUUGCGACCUACACCACAGCCCAUGGCAACGUUGGAUCCCCGACCCACUGAGCAAGGCCAAGGAUGGAACCCGUGUCUUCAUGGAUAUUAGUUGAAUUCAUUUCCACUGUGCCACAAUGGGAACUUAAGCUAAUCCAUUCAGACCUAACAUGCUGAGAGGAGGAAGAUGAGUAAAUCGCCGUUCUUGCCAGAAAAUCAAACAGGACAGACAACUCCAUGUCAUGACGUCAUUACGUGUAAAGGCUGUUAGAUCUGCAAAUAUUUUGAGGUGAGGAAGGAAAUUCUGUUUAUUCCACAAAGUUCAGCAUUUUUUACAUUUCCGUGUAAGAUGCUUAUCUUGUUUUACAUUAACUAAAUGC
rnacentral:lncRNA from 1 species